AGAUGUGAAGAUCUGUAUUCUACAUGGAAAGAUGUGGCGUCUGUAUCCUGCUUGAUCAGGAUGUUGAUCAGGCAGCAUCCUCUGGCCUUAAAAAUCUUGAAUCAACUUUUUGGUUCUAACAUUCAUCAACUCCUGAGACUGAUGUGUUUUCUGAAGCAGCUGUGGGAAUCACUAUCAUUUGUGAGUGUGAAUGGAUGAAUGACUGAAUGUAGUGUUAAGUUCUUUGUGCUGUACAAGUACAGGUCAUUUAUCACUUCACACAAACACAAGAGUCUUCUGAAAGGCUGAGAGACGUACAUCUGUUGGAAAGACGGUUUUGCUGCUUAGCCACUUGGUCUGAAAACAGUGGCUGUUUGACGUCUAGAAAUGUAAUAGUAAGACGUAGAGCUUUUAAAAGAAUGUUCACAAAUGACACCACAGUUCAUUGGAAGCACAAUUCGCUUCCAAGAACUGUGAUUUGACUGCCUUCACUCGUGUUCAGUCCAUUUCUUGUCUACUUCAAAAACGUGCAUUCUUUAUUAAACUAUACUCAACAGCUAUUAAUCAUUUAGAUAUUAAAUGUCGCUAUGAAGCAAAAUUAUGUGCUACCAUAUAAGCACGACUGAUCCUGCUGAGGUGUUGAGAGCUUCACAGUUUCUUCAGCAAAUACUUUAUAAAUCAGCAAAAAGUUAUUUUCCUCAUCAGAUUUAUUUCACUGGGUUACAUCUGUACUUGCAAACAUAAACUCAUAAAAUCAUUUGUGAACAUUCAUACGUUGAAAAUUUUGUUGAUGGUGAUUCUUUGGCAAAUCAAUUAUGACUCUGAGGUUCUUACAAGUUCUAACAGUCCUGCUAUAAAACCUGAAGAUCACAGUGUAGCAUGCUGCAUGUACACAGGAGAGAACUCUAAAAAAUCUGCUUAGAGUGAAUAUCUAUCAUCUAACAGAAACCUUUAAUUUUAAAGCACGCACACACACACACACACACACACACACACACACACACACACACACACACACACACACACUAAGUUAAUAAGAACUCCUUGUGUCUAUGGUAAAUGGCAGCUUACAUAAUACUCCUGAUAUUUGCUGACUCUCAUCUUUUAAAAGAUCAAGGAAAACAUGAGAAGUGUGUGAUAGUUUAUAUCUUGCUUUAAAACUAAGACUUUCUCCAAACUCUUGGCCCAACAUCAUGGAAUCAGAUUUCUGUGCAGCAGGAAUUUCAAACAUAGAUCAGUCUGAGAGAAAGAGCUCACAUUGGCCCAUGUUGCUAACUUAUCAGUUACAGUUUUAAUUGACAGAAUAAGUACAGCCAUUGGAUAUUCAACAAUUACAUGAGGAGAGGGAGACAUGUUGGCCGCAGCAUGAGUUCUACAAAUGAAAAAA